UACCUAUUAGGUGUAUGCCAAAAAUUGGCUGAUUUAUGGGGAUUUCUAUUCGGGAAGACCACCUUUUGGGUAUUCCAUUCCAUUUUUUACCCUCCCAACCCAAAAGCCCCAAAAACAAGAGCAAACAGCAGCUGCCAGCAAAGUCACCCAAGGCUCCACUCGUUCUCGGUUCACUGUUUCGGCAAGUGCUUCUUCACUUUAUCGGCGGCUAUUUUCGGCAAGUGGUUGAAGAUCGCUUCCUCUGAAACUGGUUUUUGUUGAUUGAAGAGAAAUAAAUGGAUGGGGCUAAAGAGACGGGACUUAGAAAUGUGAGCUCAACUUGCUCAAUCUCGGAGUCAGAUGAUUAUGAUCUGUGCUGAUGGAUGCUCUAUGAUUGAUCGAAGAAUGGGCAUUUAUGGAGUCAGAGUUACCAACUUUUAAAGAGAAAAACCCUCAGCUGGAGGUGGUUACUGAACUCAUUCGUGGGCAGCAUCCACAUUUGAAAGGCUUUUGCAAGAACAAAAACGAGCGGGUGGUAUGCGUGAAGAAUAUGACUCCUGAAGAUAUCCUUCUUUAUGCAACCAGGCUAAGAAACGCAUUGGAAAGAAAGGUGGUGAAAUUGAAGACAAGGCAUGUAACUAAACACCCUAGUGUGCAAGGUACAUGGACAACUGAUGUGAAAUUUUGAGACACAGUAGUACCAAGUUCUUCACAAUUUUGUGUGUAUGUUUCUUUAUUGUUCUAUGUAGUCAUGAUGGCAACUUUGCCGAAACAUUCACUCUUUGGAGGUGAAUGAAACUGUUGUGCAAUGAACAAAGGCUAAUGAUGUCGUAAUAGAUGAUUCGACCCAAAUAUUUAAUAA